rnacentral:rRNA from 1 species
GACGAACGCUGGCGGCGUGCCUAAUACAUGCAAGUUGAGCGCUGAAGGUUGGUACUUGUACCAACUGGAUGAGCAGCGAACGGGUGAGUAACGCGUGGGGAAUCUGCCUUUGAGCGGGGGACAACAUUUGGAAACGAAUGCUAAUACCGCAUAAAAACUUUAAACACAAGUUUUAAGUUUGAAAGAUGCAAUUGCAUCACUCAAAGAUGAUCCCGCGUUGUAUUAGCUAGUUGGUGAGGUAAAGGCUCACCAAGGCGAUGAUACAUAGCCGACCUGAGAGGGUGAGCGGCCACACUGGGACUGAGACACGGCCCAAACUCCUACGGGAAGCAGCAGUAGGGAAACUUCGGGAAUGGACGAAAGUCUGACCGAGCAACGCCGCGUGAGUGAAGAAGGAUUUCGGGUCGUAAAACUCUGUUGGUAGAGAAGAACGUUGGUGAGAGUGGAAAGCUCAUCAAGUGACGGUAACUACCCAGAAAGGGACGGCUAACUACGUG